GUAGGCGGGGUAAAGGCCCACCUAGCCAACGAUGGGUAGCCGAGCUGAGAGGCUGAUCGGCCACACUGGAACUGAGACACGGUCCAGACUCCUACGGGAGGCAGCAGUGGGGAAUAUUAGGCAAUGGGCGAAAGCCUGACCUAGCAACGCCGCGUGAGGGAAGAAGGUCUUCGGAUUGUAAACCUCUGUCGCAGGGGACGAAGAAAGUGACGGUACCCUGUGAGGAAGCCCCGGCUAACUACGUGCCAGCAGCCGCGGUAAUACGUAGGGGGCGAGCGUUGUCCGGAAUUACUGGGCGUAAAGGGUGCGUAGGCGGCGCUUUAAGUUGGAUGUGAAAUCCCCGAGCUUAACUUGGGGUCUGCAUCCAAUACUGGGGCGCUAGAGUGCAGGAGGGGUAAGCGGAAUUCUCAGUGUAGCGGUGAAAUGCGUAGAUAUUGGGAAGAACACCGGUGGCGAAGGCGGCUUACUGGACUGUAACUGACGCUGAUGCACGAAAGCGUGGGGAGCAAACAGGAUUAGAUACCCUGGUAGUCCACGCUGUAAACGAUGAUUACUAGGUGUAGGGGGUAUCAACUCCCUCUGUGCCGCAGCAAACGCAAUAA
rnacentral:rRNA from 1 species